UUGCUACCAAGUGGCAGAGCUGGAAUCAGCGCUACUCAGCCUCACACAUUUUGCUCCCUGUGCCUCUUCAGAACUUCGGCCUGUCACAUGUGUGCAGCUGUGGGAGCCCAGAUUGUGAGUUGAUCAAGGUCAGGGCCACACCCUGCACUUCCUGCCUGACACAGAAAUUGCUCUCUGGGCAGAGGGCUGCGGAGCAGGAGCGAGGCUGCAGGUGUGAGAAGGACCCCGCCGUGCCAGGGCAGCCUCAAGGAGCUGUUGAGCGAGUUGAGCCCAGAAGACAAAGGUCGCUGAAGUCCUUCCAGGAGAAGAAGAUCAAUGCCUGGGCUGAGCCUGCGGUUAACAUCUUAAUAGUAACCGGAGAGUUUCUGAGAGAUUAGGCUCACAUACCUCUCAGAGUCCAGGAGGCAGUGAGGGAAAGCUUUUAAUUCAAAGCCCUAUCCAUCUUCCCAACUCAGGUGAGAUGGGGACUAGAAAGUCGGUCUGGCUGAAGCUAAGUGAGGCCAGCCUUCUGGGUGUUGGGUAUCAGGUUCUGGACGGGGCUGGCAGUUGUGUGUGGGGCUCAUGGAUGGUUUUAGGCCCUUCUGCCCCCUUUGUCAGUGUGCCCUUGUGGGAAGCCGGUGCGUUUCCAGGGGAGCUGCUGGAGGCUUCUUAUGGCAUGCAGAUCAAGGAAGACCUGUAGACUACAUGCACCCUGGCGCUCUGGGAACGGGGAGCCAUGGAACGUGCGUGAAGCGGUGUGUAAAACUGGAGAGAAAAACCCUAAGGAGACCUCAUCGGACGUUCCUGUGAUAAUCUAGGCCUCAGGACAGGCAGACUGGGAUGCUUGUGUUACCCCUAACUUUAGAUUACUCUCCCACUGCUCCCCUCCUUCACUGUAGAUUCCCACAAUUUCAGUAUCAAUGUAAUUACAAUUUAGGGGCUUAGAAACUCCUGUAUUUAUUGAGAACCCACUUAAUUUACAUAUAUUGAGUUUCAAUAUUGCACAACUCUGUGUGGAGGGGUUAGGGUGGAGGAGACCUGAGAUGACAGAAGGCCAUGUUCUCUAGGGAUGGUCUGCAGCCCUCAGUGCUGUCUCUUUUCCCUCCAGCGCCCCCUCUGUGCCCCCCUCCAAUCCCUGCUCCCCCCAGUCUCUAUAGCUGAAGGCUAGGACGAACUGUGGGGUUGUGAAUAUUUACGCAGGCAGGCAUAGGACUCAGUGACGCAGCUGAGAGCCACGCAAGUGUUUGGUGACUCAUCAGACCUUCUCCAAAGACUUGUGAUAUUUUUCUCCUCUGAAGGGCCGAAAGCAAUUUGCAGUUAAUGAUAGUAUAUGACGCCAGAAGAGUACGCAGACCUUCCGGCUCAUCUUUUCUGUGCCUUGGGUGUUUUGUUUUUGAAAAAACCUAUGUGAAUUAUUUUCCCUUUAGUAAUGUUUAUUUUAUUCUGAUUAUUAAAAUAAUGUAUGCUCAUUGUAGAAAAUACAUAAAUGCAUUAAAUAGGAAAUAAAAUGCAUGAAUUAUUUUUCC
rnacentral:lncRNA from 1 species